rnacentral:lncRNA from 1 species
AAUCAUUUAAUAGACAUUGGUCUAGCAUGUCUAGAUUGAUUAUACACUAUUCGAAAUUAAAUUUCAAUUGACAAUCAUAUCUAUACCUUAAAAUUCUACUUUUUUCCAAACAAUCUAUUUUUAAAAGAUCUUGUUGAAUUAGUUAACAAAUGUUUCACUGUUGAGAAGCUGUACUCUAUUUUCUCCAGCCUUUAUAAUGUUGCGAGACUAUUUAUUAUUAGUUAUUGCAUAU